AGUGCCCUGGGGCGGGAUGGGCCGGCUCCGGCCGAGGAGCGCGCACGGGCUGGGAGAGAGGCCGGGAGCUGGGGAGCGGUUGCAGCCGGCCCGAUGCCCACCCCGGCUCAUCGCGGCUGCUCCUCCGGGUCCCGUCGCAGCGCCGCUGGCGGAGACUGGGAAGAGCCAGCGCCGCCCGCCGGCCUCUGGGCAGUGGACUAAGAGGCUCCGCGUUGCGAGGAGUCGGUUGAGAGCUGGGCUCGCCACACCCGGUCUCGGGGGACGUCUGCGGGAGGCUUCUGCAUCUCUUCGCCUUGCGCUGCGAUUUCUAGGGCGCUGCCGGAGAUCCACUCUGUGCUCUGAGCCGGGCCUGCUGGGGGCGGGAGAGCGCUCGGGAACCCCGCGGGUGGGAGCAGGGGCCGGGGGUGUUCAGGAAAGGUGUUGCGGGGGGAAAGGAAUCCUGACUGUUGAGAACGGUGUAUAGGGAUCUGAAUAGACCUGUGGGAGGAAGUGAAAUCUGAGCGGAGCCCUGAGGGGGGCGGCUAAUCUUCGGCAGCUGUGGGCGUUGGACGAGUAGAGGGAGGGAAAGGGGACCUCUGGAGAAGGAGACCUUGAGCCUUGCGCUGGAGGUGUACUCGGCAGGUCCCUGAUGAACCAAGGGAACCCUCCACCGUAUCCAGGCCCCGGUCCGACGGCUCCAUACCCACCUUAUCCACAGC